UCGCAUCUGUGCAUGCAGCAUAUCAAUAAGCGGAGGAAAAGAAACUAACAAGGAUUCCCCUAGUAACGGCGAGUGAAGCGGGAAGAGCUCAAAUUUGAAAUCUUAAAGGGUUUCCCUUUACGAAUUGUAGUUUAAAGAAGUGUUUUCUGUUGAGGUUUUGGUAAAAGUUCUUUGGAAUAGGACAUCAUAGAGGGUGAGAAUCCCGUAUUUGACCUUUACUUUCAACUUUGUGAUACACUUUCAAAGAGUCGGAUUGUUUGGGAAUGCAGUCCAAAAUGGGUGGUAAAUUUCAUCUAAAGCUAAAUAUUGGCGAGAGACCGAUAGCGAACAAGUACCGUGAGGGAAAGAUGAAAAGAACUUUGAAAAGAGAGUUAAACAGUACGUGAAAUUGUCAAAAGGGAAGCGUUUGACACCAGUGUUGUUUUUCUGAAAAUCAAUUAAAGAACUGUUUAUGCUAAGUUGUUUAGACUUUAUCAGCUAAUCUGCUUAGUUUUGAGCUUUUCUUUAAUGCACUUUUCAGUUAACAAGUCAACAUCAAUUUCUUUUGCUGUAAAAAAGCUUGAGGAAGGUGGCUUGAGAUUCGUCUUAAGUGUUUAUAGCCUCUUGCCUAUGCAGUCGGAGAGAUUGAGGUCUGCAGCGUAGAUCCUUCGGGGCUAAAUGCAUUUGUGCUAAGUUAUAGCAUUUUAUAGACAACUUGUUGACUAUGAUUUGUCUUGUAGCUUACUCGCUUAUGUUAUUUUACCUACGCUUAGGAUGUUGAAUCUGUGCGAGACUAC
rnacentral:rRNA from 1 species